CCUACGGGUGGCAGCAGUAGGGAAUAUUGCUCAAUGGGGGAAACCCUGAAGCAGCAACGCCGCGUGGAGGAUGAAGGUUCUCGGAUUUUAAACCCCUUUUGUUAGAGAAGAUAAUGACGGUAUCUAACGAAUAAGCACCGGCUAACUCCGUGCCAGCAGCCGCGGUAAUACGGAGGGUGCAAGCGUUACUCGGAAUCACUGGGCGUAAAGAGGGCGUAGGCGGGUUAGCUAGUCAGAUGUGAAAUCCUAUGGCUUAACCAUAGAACUGCAUUUGAAACUGUUAUACUAGAGUAUGGGAGAGGUACGUGGAAUUCUUGGUGUAGGGGUGAAAUCUGUAGAGAUCGAGAGGAAUACUCAUUGCGAAGGCGGCCUGCUGGCACCUAACUGACGCUGAGGCGCGAAAGCGUGGGGAGCGAACAGGAUUAGAUACCCGUGUAGUC
rnacentral:rRNA from 1 species